rnacentral:lncRNA from 10 species
AAGAUUAUAAAACUGCUGAGUAGUGGGGCUGGGAAUGAGAGUUUUAUGACUCUCAGUUCAGUGCCUCAGCGCCCUGUGUUAUAGCUAUUUUGGUGGAGGGAGAGUGGUUCAUUAUGCCUACUGAGAAAGAUAGCAUAUAUUUACUCAUUAACACCUAAGAACAGCAAGGCCAAGGCUAGAAGAGGAUCUCCAAGCAGAUGAGGUACAAAACAGGACAGUUUUGAAUGGAGUGAGCAGAGGAUACUCAUAAAAAGAGUGCACACACUCAGUGCAUGCCCAGUCUGGGGCAGGCUGGGUGUACUAGAGGCAGGAAACCACUAGCACUUGUCUGAAUCCAAGGAAAUUACAUUAGGUGAGGAAUGGAGUGAGGAAGGAAGAGUAGGCACUCCACACAAGAAUCUGGGGGCCUCUGGUCGGCGAGUCCUACAGCCGAGUCUGAAGGCCCACCCAAAACUCAGGAAGCAAAAACAAAUUCCACAGAUUCACCAACUCUGAGCAGGAGCAUUCAGUAAAGAGACCUUACUCUGGUGCCUGUUCAUGUCACCAAAGAGUUGAUAAGAAAAAAGACCUGAGACUGUGUGUCUGUACAAUUCAGUAAAAUCCUCAAAGCAGAAACCUGGCCCAUGUAGUCCUGCUAGCACCAGGGUCUGGCAGCUGCCCAGGAAGUUGUGAAAGGGUUUAGUUUCAAGAGCAAUUGAGCUAUGCCCUCCAGCCCUGGAGAACCACAGAAAGUAAUUUUGCAGGAAUGAUCCACAAUAGCCAACCAGGAAGAAGGAAAGAGAAAACCGUUCCCAGAAUCUGCUGGAGACCUCUAUCAAAAUGACCCUGCCAUCUACAUCUUGAAGGACAUGCCAAGCUUCAGCUGAAACUCAAGCCUCAUGCAGUUUUCUCUGCUUGGAAUGUUCUCUGCCCAGCCUUCACCUGCCCAGCUUCUUGUCCUACAGGUCUCAAGUCAAAUGCCUUCUUCUCAGUGAAGACUUCCCUGGCCACCUUGUCAACAUAAAUGUCAUCUGGUUAUUCUCUCUCCAGCCUGUGGCCUAUUUUUUCUAAAGAACUUUUCAGAAUCUCAUCCAUAUCUUGGUUUACUUGUUUGUAACCAGUGUCUCUCCUCCAGAAUGUAAGCUCCAGGAGAGCAGCACUUCCUCCUUGAUGUUAUUCCUGCUUCAAUCCUUAGCGUCUAGCCCAGUGCUUAAUACAGAUUUGUUGAAUAAAGAUCCAUUAAAGUGAAUUAUGGACUUAAUAAUGCCAUUCUUGCAUUGGGGAAAAAAAAUUGUGGAGUUGUAGUAAGGACAUGGAGAACCUGGACAUGGCCAUAGGAAAGUGUAAAAUGUUUGGUGAUAAUUAUACUUUUCCCCCUCAAAUGAGCCACAGACCUGAGAGUUAGGUAGGGAUGAACUGUUUUCCCAUGCUGGUAAAUAUGAAUUAG